GAUGAACGCUAGCGGCAGGCUUAAUACAUGCAAGUCGAGGGGCAGCACAGAUAGCAAUAUUGGGUGGCGACCGGCAAACGGGUGCGGAACACGUACACAACCUUCCUUUUGGUGGGGGAUAGCCUUUGGAAACGGAGAUUAAUACCACAUAAGAUAUUGGGACCGCAUGGGUUUGAUAUUAAAGAUUUAUUGCCAGAAGAUGGGUGUGCGUAUGAUUAGGUAUUUGGUGAGGGAAAGGCUCACCAAGCCGACGAUCAUUAACUGGUGUGAGAGCACGACCAGUCACACGGGCACUGAGACACGGGCCCGACUCCUACGGGAGGCAGGAGUAAGGAAUAUUGGUCAAUGGACGGAAGUCUGAACCAGCCAUGCCGCGUGGAGGAUGAAGGUCCUCUGGAUUGUAAACUUCUUUUAUAUGGGGCGAAAAAGGGCCAUUCUUGGUCAACUGACGGUACCAUAUGAAUAAGCACCGGCUAACUCCGUGCCAGCCGCCGCGGUAAUAC
rnacentral:rRNA from 1 species